rnacentral:rRNA from 1 species
UACGUAGGGUGCGAGCGUUAAUCGGAAUUACUGGGCGUAAAGCGUGCGCAGGCGGUUUUGUAAGCCAGAUGUGAAAUCCCCGGGCUACCACUGGGAAUGGCAUUUGGGACUGCAAGGCUUGGAGUGCGGCAGAGGAGACUGGAAUUCCUGGUGUAGCAGUGAAAUGCGUAGAUAUCAGGAGGAAUACCGAUGGCGAAGGCAGGUCUCUGGGCUGGACACUGA